rnacentral:rRNA from 1 species
UACGGAGGGGGCUAGCGUUGUUCGGAAUUACUGGGCGUAAAGCGCACGUAGGCGGCUUUGUAAGUUAGAGGUGAAAGCCCGGAGCUCAACUCCGGAAUUGCCUUUAAGACUGCAUCGCUAGAAUUGUGGAGAGGUAAGUGGAAUUCCGAGUGUAGAGGUGAAAUUCGUAGAUAUUCGGAAGAACACCAGUGGCGAAGGCGACUUACUGGACGCAUAUUGACGCUGAGGUGCGAAAGCGUGGGGAGCAAACAGG